rnacentral:misc_RNA from 1 species
UGCGCUUGCCGUAUGACGCUG